UACGGGGGGGGGCAAGCGUUGUUCGGAAUUACUGGGCGUAAAGGGCGCGUAGGCGGUUCGCUAAGUUGAAUGUGAAAACUCUGGGCUUAACCCAGAGCCUGCAUUCAAUACUGGCGGGCUAGAGUUCUGGAGGGGAUAGCGGAAUUCCUGGUGUAGCGGUGAAAUGCGCAGAUAUCGGGAGGAACACCAAUGGCGAAGGCAGCUCGCUGGGACGGUACUGACGCUGAGGCGCGAAAGCGUGGGGAGCAAACAGG
rnacentral:rRNA from 1 species